rnacentral:piRNA from 1 species
CAAUGGCUCAAUUGUGUUUAACUCU